UACGUAGGGACCAAGCGUUGUCCGGAAUCAUUGGGCGUAAAGAGCUCGUAGGCGGCCUGUCGCGUCGGAUGUGAAAGCCCGGGGCUUAACCCCGGGUCUGCAUUCGAUACGGGCAGGCUGGAGUGUGGUAGGGGAGAUCGGAAUUCCUGGUGUAGCGGUGAAAUGCGCAGAUAUCAGGAGGAACACCGGUGGCGAAGGCGGAUCUCUGGGCCAUUACUGACGCUGAGGAGCGAAAGCGUGGGGAGCGAACAGG
rnacentral:rRNA from 1 species